CGGGGUGUGGCGCAACGGCUAGCGCGCUGGCUUUGGGAGCCAGAGGUUGCGGGUUCGAAUCCCGCCACCCCGA
rnacentral:tRNA from 1 species